rnacentral:rRNA from 1 species
UACAUGUGGGGCAAGCGUUGUUCGGAAUUACUGGGCAUAAAGGGUGCGUAGGCGGCUUGUUAAGUCAGGGGUGAAAGUUUUCGGCCCAACCGGAAAAUUGCCUUUGAUACUGGCGAGCUUGAGUGCGUGAGGGGUAACCGGAACGAGUGGUGUAGCGGUGAAAUGCGUAGAUAUCGGGAAGAACACCCGUGGCGAAGGCGGUUCUCUGGGACGGUACUGACGCUGAGACGCGAAAGCGUGGGGAGCGAACAGG